rnacentral:rRNA from 1 species
GCCUAACACAUGCAAGUCGAGCGAUGAAAUUAGAAACGGAGUCUUCGGACGAAGAGGAAAAUGGAUUAGCGGCGGACGGGUGAGUAACACGUGAGCAACCUGCCUAUCACAUCGGGAUAGCCUCGGGAAACUGGGAUUAAUACCGAAUGAAACAUAAUCACUGCCUAGUGGAAAUGUCAAAGAUUUAUCGGUGAUAGAUGGGCUCGCGCCUGAUUAGCUAGUUGGGGAGGUAAUGGCUCACCAAGGCGACGAUCAGUAGCCGGCCUAAGAGGCUGAUCGGCCACACUGGAACUGAGACACGGUCCAGACUCCUACGGGAGGCAGCAGUGGGGAAUAUUGGGCAAUGGGCGCAAGCCUGACCCAGCAACGCCGCGUGAGGGAAGAAGGCUUUCGGGUUGUAAACCUCUGUCCUUGGUGACGAAACAAAUGACGGUAGCCAAGGAGGAAGCCCCGGCUAACUACGUGCCAGCCGCCGCGGUAA